rnacentral:rRNA from 1 species
AGCGAACGCUGGCGGCAGGCCUAACACAUGCAAGUCGAACGAACCUUUCGGGGUUAGUGGCGGACGGGUGAGUAACACGUGGGAACGUGCCUUUAGGUUCGGAAUAACUCAGGGAAACUUGUGCUAAUACCGAAUGUGCCCUUCGGGGGAAAGAUUAAUCGCCUUUAGAGCGGCCCGCGUCUGAUUAGCUAGUUGGUUGAGGUAAUGGCUCACCAAGGCGACGAUCAGUAGCUGGUCUGAGAGGAUGAUCAGCCACAUUGGGACUGAGACACGGCCCAAACUCCUACGGGAGGCAGCAGUGGGGAAUCUUGCGCAAUGGGCGAAAGCCUGACGCAGCCAUGCCGCGUGAAUGAUGAAGGUCUUAGGAUUGUAAAAUUCUUUCACCGGGGACGAUAAUGACGGUACCCGGAGAAGAAGCCCCGGCGAACUUCGU